rnacentral:misc_RNA from 1 species
UCAAACUUGGUCAUUUAGAGGAAGUAAAAGUCGUAACAAGGUUUCCGUAGGUGAACCUGCGGAAGGAUCAUUACAGUAGGGGGCUCUGCCCCUGGAAAAGACACCCUUGAUUUUUGAGUACCUCUGUUUCCUCGGCGGGUCCGCUCGCCAAUGGGGACCCCUCAAAACCUUUUUGUAAUAGCAGUAUCUUCUGAAAAACAAAGCAAAAGUUAAAACUUUCAACAACGGAUCUCUUGGUUCUGGCAUCGAUGAAGAACGCAGC